rnacentral:rRNA from 1 species
GUCUACGGCCAUGCUACCCUGAACAAGCCUGAUCCCGUCUGAUCUCAGAAGCUAAGCAGGAUUGGGCCUGGUUAGUACUUGGACGGGAGAUCACCUUAGAAGACCAGGUGCUGUAGGUG